rnacentral:rRNA from 1 species
CCGGGACGGACGAACCUCUGGUGUGCCAGUUGUCCUGCCAAGGGCAUGGCUGGUUGGCUACGUUCGGAAAGGAUAACCGCUGAAAGCAUCUAAGCGGGAAGCCUGCUUCGAGAUGAGUAUUCCCACCAACUUGAUUGGUUAAGGCUCCCAGUAGACGACUGGGUUGAUAGGCCAGAUGUGGAAGCCCGGUAACGGGUGGAGCUGACUGGUACUAAUAGGCCGAGGGCUUGUCCUCAGUUG